rnacentral:tRNA from 1 species
GGGGUUGUGGCUCAGUGAUAGAGUACUUGCCUAGCAUGCAUGAGGCACUGGGUUUGAUCUCUAGCACCACA